rnacentral:lncRNA from 1 species
AUACUUUCUAAAUAUUUUAUGUCAUUUUUAACCGUAAGCACGGACAAUUUUAUAUAUACAGCUUCCUAUAAAUAUAUUGAAUAGCACGUAUAUUUCUAUAAAAUUUAACUUUUUAGAUUUAUAUCUUUAAAAGUUCAGUGAUUUUCAUAUUUACUCAUCCAGUUUGUAUUUUUUUUAACAAAAAAUAAAUAAAAUGUUAAUUUUUCAUCAUAAAUAUUUUUCUCCAACGUCCGAAAUAUUAGAAUCGUGCAAAAAUAUCCUCUCAAAAUAAUUUCCCAUCGUCAUCCUUUCUUUUUCUGUAAAAACUAAUCUAAUCUAUCACUAUUGCAAUUUCUUCUCUACCUUUUCUCUCACUCUUUUUUUUUUUUUACCUAUCUAAUACUAAUUCCAGACGCUCGACAUGUGGGUGAAGAUGGAUGAAUUGGGACGAACAUAUUCUAGUUAUGGAUUUAAAAUUAGCACGAAGGAGAGAGGGGAAGAGGAAGAGGAAAAAAGUUCACAUUGCUAGGAUUUUGAUCGAAAUAGGAUUUGAUUGAUAAUAUCAUAGAGGAGAAAAAAUCAAUUUACCUCACUCACUAAUUACCAAGGUUACGUAUUUUACCUAUGGUUAAUAUAUUUUUUUCACGGACACUAACAACAGGAGUAUAUUUGAAACCGUUAGGACUUUUUGAGGGAUAAAUUAAUGUGAAAACUUGAAAUUUAUAUAGAUAUAUCUGCUAUUCGAUAGGUUUACUGAGAGCUGUAUGAAAUUAUCCCUUAAUAUUAAUAGUAUAU